rnacentral:rRNA from 1 species
UACGAAGGGAGCUAGCGUUGUUCGGAAUCACUGGGCGUAAAGCGCACGUAGGCGGAUGUGUCAGUCAGGGGUGAAAUCCCGGAGCUCAACUUCGGAACUGCCUUUGAUACAGCACGUCUUGAGUCCGAUAGAGGUGGGUGGAAUUCCUAGUGUAGAGGUGAAAAUUCGUAGAUAUUAGGAAGAACACCGGUGGCGAAGGCGGCCCACUGGAUCGGUACUGACGCUGAGGUGCGAAAGCGUGGGGAGCAACAGG